UGGCUGAGUAAACCUCACAAGCACUCUGCUAACAGAGUAAAAAAACAUUCAAAGCUGUCUCUUGCCACACUAGUCAGUGAGUAUUAUUCUCUGAGUGCAACCAUGUUGAGAAGGAAGAGCUUAUUCUUACACAGAUGCUUUUUCAUCUACAAAUGCAUUUUAAGGUAGGGCAUGGAUAUCCAGCUUCAGCAUACCCUUCACAAAGCCUUGAGGGCUGACCCAGACCCUCCUGAAAUGAAUAGCAGAUUUUCACACAGAACACUUCUAUCCUGACUUGACCGCAAAAUCCUGGCAUGCAAAUCCAACAAUAUUUACCUCCUGCUAGAUGGGAACAGCUCAUCAUCCUGCACAAAGUUAAAUACAGACCUCUGAUGUGAGAACCAGUCAUCUGCAGAAUGUCUACAAGCAUGAAUGCUCAGGAAAACAGUGGCAAGACAUUGAGUAACAUGCAUCAAACUGAACAUGGUGAGCUGCAGAAGAAAGGUUGACAAUCUUUAUGCACAAACAUGACAGGGUGGUCUGUCAUCACUAACUUAAAAAACCAAAAUCCUUUAGUUUAUAAUGCUGACAAAUCUGAUGACUGAGAAUAUAGCUGGACACUUGGAAGAGGCUCUGACUUGCGGAGGCUCUGAGUUGUCCAAGAAUGGUGACAGAUACGUUAAGAAACUAACAGAGAGACAGUCUAAGGUCAUACAGUCUCUGGAUUACUAGAUUUUUACUUAAUAAACAUGUGAAUGAAUUAUG